rnacentral:lncRNA from 1 species
AGUGAAGAGUGAGACUGUCUCAUGUUUGGCAAAGAUAGUCAUUGGAAAGUACACCUAGUGGAUAUUUCAGCUUUGGGUUUAACAGCCGAGGGUCUUUCUCCUCUAAGAUUGGCCAUCCUGCUAGAGGGGGAGGUCUUUUCUCCACCACUUCUCUUCCCCAUUUCUUCAUUUCAUUCAUGAGAGUCUGUGAUUUACCUGUGACUCACUUCUUCAAAUGGAUGGCAGUGUGCUUGGGGAAAAAAAUUUUUUUUAAUAUCCAGAAGAUUGAACAGAGGGUUGCUAUUAUUAAAUGCAUUUGGACAUACAGAUUAAAAUCAAAGUUCAAUUUUUAAGGAACAAAAAUAAAAUAAAUCUUGUUACAUUUUCAUUUUACCUGCCCUCUUAAACUGAGAACCAGAGCAGAAGGGAAAUAGAGAAUUUUAAGAAAUUAAUUUUCCUGUGGCUGAAUUAAGCCCAUUAGAUGCUGAUGGGAUUUUUUUUUUUAAGGGUACCUCAAAUAUAUAUUUGAUUUGAUUUCCUCCGGUGGCUGGAGGGUGAAUGGAGCCUGGUUCUACUUUCCUCUCCCCCACUACUCCCCACUCCCUUUGAGAGAACGCAUUACUAGAAGGAAAAUCUUUUAGAAUUAGUGACACAUGGUGGGCUGUCUUGAGGUUCCCCUGACCCCAGUCCCCCAGGCCAUGGCCUAAUAAAAUCAGCUGUCCAUUGUUCUCACAGCAUAUCAUUUAAUAAUGAAUACUUUAGAACAAUGCUCAAUGGUCUGAGAAUUGUAUUUGAUUAGCCCAUUCAGUUGGACAGCCCAAAUGCUGAAUAGCCCAGCAGGGUCCUAGUAGCACAGGUUCAAAACUAAGUCUAGUCAUUUCUGUGAUGACUUGUCCUGGUAGAAAACAGAUCCUCCCAGCCAAGCUCUUCCUGUCUCUGCCACCUAUUAGGUGAGCAAAUCAACCUCACAGGACACGCAGUAUUUUUUAAGAGCAGACUCACCCUCUCUCUCUCUCUUUUUUUUUUUUUUCUUUUUUCUUUCUUUCUUUUCUUUUUUUUUUUUUGCCAGUAAAUGAGCAGCUCUUGCUAAGUAAGUUACACACUGUGGGUAUUCCUGCCUGCCUCUUGAAUACAGAAGCCUAAUUCGAGUGUUAAUUUUUUUUUUUUUAAAUCAUUGUUUUGGUCUCCUUUCCUUUUGAGAUAAAACUCUUAAAAAUUUACUAUAUAAAUUUAUAUAUAUAUAGAAAUCUCAAAUCCAUUUCGGCCUCCUCCUUUUACCAGGAAGUAUCUUGUGACUGAGGGCCCCACUCUGGCAGGUCUUGCACGCCCCUCCCCUCCCCAGAACUGCAGAGCUAUAGGAUGGUGAAGGUCACCCAAGGGCACCAGCUGGGCGUGGCAUCUCCAGCCCCAGGCUCUCGGCACUGUUCAGCUUUCCUUGCGUUGCUUUGUAGCCCACCACUCACAGUGCCUCUGAAGUGUUUCCUCUGGAGUGACAUGAGCGUUGGAGGCUUGUCUAAGGAGAAAAUUGGAAAAAGGCAGUGAAGGAGACUGUACAUAAAGACAUGGCAAAAAUCUUAAUUAUAGCAAUAUAGUUAUGGGGUAAUGUUCGGGUGGGCAGCUCCAUUUAAAAAAAAAUAUGUGAAUGAAUCUGUGAAGCUGCGAGUAGCAAGAAGAGCGAAAGGUCUUCUUAACGAACCGCCUACCUUGUAGACAGUAAUUUGUACACUGUAUAGUUUUGUUAAGAAUUUUUUUUUUAAAUUAAAAUUCCCAUGUUUGUAAAGCUAACUUUUUAACAAUUAUAAUGGAACUAUAUGUUGUUUCCAUUUUUAAAGUAAACAAGAAUAUUCCUUGUUUGGAGACUGGACUUGAGUUAAAACUCUCCAGUCUCUUAAGUUAUGUAUUAAAAAAAAAUCUGUCCAUGUUAGGAGUUAUUUCACAGAUUCCUGUGCUUGAAAAGCAUAGGAUACUAAUCCUUUAAAAAAGUGUAAAUGGAGAAAAGUUAUAUUUUAUGAAGGUUAUUUUGUUGUAUUUAGUAUUGGAAAAGUUGGUUUUCAGAGCAUUUCAGAAUGUCGGAAGCACCACUGUCUUUUUAUUAGUAUAUAACGGCCUUUAGCAAAAGUUUUUGUGAUUGUUCCGUGAUGGUAUUUAAGGUUGUUUCACAGAGCAUUCAGGAUAGGCAGAAAACGAAAACAGUGCUAUGUCUCACAUAACGUGUCCUCAGGGAGCAGAAUCUUGGAUUGGUGACUUGUAGCUUCAUAAGGACUCAACAAAAGAGAUUGCACAGGGACAUCUUCAGCGGUUUGACACCAAGACACGUGUUCUUUACCUAGAUUCAAACUAUGUACUGUGUGAAACGAUGAAGGCUGCAGAAAGUUAUCCCAUAUUCAGUGUACAGUAUUCAUUUUUAAUGAAACAACUCUACAAUAUUGCUGGCAGAUAGGCCCCAAGCAUGACAUUCAGUAUAGUUUACAUGUUCCUGUCAAGGUCUUUUGUUAACAUUAACCAGCUGCAUGCUUCCUGG